rnacentral:rRNA from 1 species
AUGCGGGGGCGCCGGCGGCCAGAAAGCCAGGCGCGCGCCAACUGCGGUAGGAGAAGGGGCAUGCCGGUGGCCGGCAUCGGCUGCAACCAUGCGGAGGCAGUAGUACAAUCUACGAUCUUGGCUUUGGCGACUUGGUCAGGUGGGGCGCGAGGGUGCUUGGGUGGGUGGAGAAUUGGGAAGAGUCUCGCGUUCAAUCUCUUCUGGUUCGAACGGACUUGGGAUGAUUCUCGCGUUCUUGUUCUGGGCGAGGGGCCUUACUGCUCCUGUCUGAGACAAGGUUCUUCUUGUGAUUUGGGUUCAGGGGGGAAUUGA